AUGCAGCCUGCUCCGCAGUUACCCCCCUGGCCUGGCCCCAGGAGUAAGCAGCUUCCCACAGAUGGCUGUCUCCUUCACCUACCGACAUCUGGCACUCUUCACAGGCAGAGGCUACAUCUGAAUGGGGACGGCAUCACUCAAGGAGAAGCUGUCUUGCUUGUCUAUGUCUGGUGCAGCCGUCCUCCUAGCAAGGAGAGGGCGGUGUUGGUGGCCUGGGAGAGGCGGCUGAUUGUGGUGGGCAAUGCACCCAAGAGCAUCCAGUGUGUGCUGGAUGAGGACUCCUACCUUGUACCUGAGCUCCAUGGUGUCCGCAUCUUCUCCCGCAGCACCCAUGGGUUUCUGCAUGAGGUUCCAGCGGCCAGCAAGGAGAUCUUCAAAAUUGCCUCAAUAGCCCCUGGGGCGCUGCUCCUGGAGGCUCAGAAGGAAUAUGAGAAAGAGAGUCAGGAGGCAGACGAGUACCUGCGGGAGAUCCAGGAGCUGGGCUGGCUGACCCAGGCCGUGCAGCAGUGCAUUGAGGCUGCGGGACAUGAGUACCAGCCAGACAUGCGGCAGAGUCUGCUCAGGGCUGCCUCCUUCGGAAAGUGUUUCCUGGACAGAUUUCCACCCGACAGCUUCGUGCGCAUGUGUCAAGACCUGCAUGUGUUCAAUGCUGUUAGGGACUAUCACAUUGGGAUCCCACUCACCUAUAGCCAACACAAGCAGCUCACCAUCCGGGUGCUGCUGGACAGGCUUGUGUUGCAGAGACUUUAUCCCCUGGCCAUCCAGAUAUGCAAGUACUUGCACCUUCCUGAAGUACAGGGCAUCAGCAGAAUCCUGGCCCAUUGGGCCUACUAUAAGGUGCAAUGGAAGGAUGUCUCAGAUGAGGAUGUGGCUCGAGCCAUUAACAAGAAGCUGGGGGACUCACCUGGUGUCUCUUACUCUGACAUCGCUGCAUGAGCCUAUGGCUGUGGCCGCAUGGAGCUGGACAUCAACCUGCUGGCGUAUGAGCCACGCUCAGGGGAUCAGGUACUCCUUCUCCUAAAGAUGAAGAGGAACAAACUGGCACUAAGAAAGGCCAUUGAGAGUGGAGCCACUGACCUGGUCAGUUCACAGUGUUGCUGCACCUGAAGAAUGAGCUGAACCGAGUAGAUUUUUUUCAUGACUCUUCGGAAUCAGCCCAUGGCCUUGAGUUUGUACUGACAGUUCUGUAAGCAUCAAGAGCUAGAGACUCUGAAGGACCUUUACAAUCAGGAUGACAAUCACCAGGAAUUGGGCAGCUUCCACAUCUGAGCCAGCUAUGCUGCAGAAAAGCGGAUUGAGGGCCGAAUAGCAGCUCUUCAGACAGCCGCCGAUGCCUUCUACAAGGCCAAGAAUGAGUUUGCAGCCAAGGCUACAGAGGAUCAAAUGCAGCUUCUAUGGCUGCAGUGGAGCCUAGAAGACAAGCUGGGGGGCCAGUUCCUAGACCUGUCUCUGCGUGACACUAUUACCGCCCUCAUUCUUGGUGGUCACAACAAGCGUGCAGACCAGCUGGCACGUGAUUUCCGCAUCCCUGUCAAGAGGCUCUGGUGGCUGAAGCUGACUGCCCUGGCAGAUUUGGAAGACUGGGAAGAACUAGAGAAGUUUUCCAAGAGCAAGAAAUCACCCAUUGGCUACCUGCCUUUUGUGGAGAUCUGCAUGAAACAACACAACAAAUACAAAGUCAAGAAAUAUGCUUCCCGUGUGGGUCCUGAGCAGAAGAUCAAGGCUUUCCUUCUCACUGGCGAUGUGGCUCAGGCUGCAGACGUGGCCAUCUAACACCUGAACGAGGCUGAGCUGAGUCUUGUAUUGUCCCACUGCAUGGGAGCCACAGAUGGGGCCAUGGCUGACAAGAUUCAACGGGCCAGUGCACAAGCCCAGAAGAAGUGAUAAGUCCACACUGCACACCUCAAGCAAGGGGUUCCUCCUAGCACCUGGGCUUGGCAGAAGGGUCAUAGUUCAUCCAGCUCCUCCCCCAGAGCAAUGCUGAGGAGGCGGUGGUGGCGGGGGGGGGAGGGUGGGUGCUAGCAGGGCUGUCUGGUUGUAAAUAAUGUUGGAACACUUAAAAAA